rnacentral:rRNA from 1 species
CCUACGGGAGGCAGCAGUGGGGAAUAUUGGACAAUGGACGCAAGUCUGAACCAGCCAUGCCGCGUGCGGGAAGACGGCUCUAUGAAUUGUAAGCUCCUUUUGUAGGGAGGUAAACGCAGAUACGCGUAUCUGUCUCAAAGUAUCGUACCAAUAAAGAUCGGCUAACUCCGUGCCAGCAGCCGCGGUAAUACGGAGGAUUCAGGCGUUAUCCGGAUUUAUUGGGUUUAAAGGGUGCGUAGGCGGUCGGAUAAGUUAGAGGUGAAAUCCCGAGGCCCAACUUCGGAAUUGCCUUUGAUACUGUUAGGCUAGAGAGCAGUUGAGGUAGGCGGAAUGCAUGGUGUAGCGGUGAAAUGCUUAGAGAUCAGACAGAACACCGAUGGCGAAGGCAGCUUACCAAGCUACUUCUGACGUUGAGGCACGAAAGCGUGGGGAGCAAACAGGAUUAGAUACCCGUGUAGUC